UACAGAGGUCCCGAGCGUUGUUCGGAUUCACUGGGCGUAAAGGGUGCGUAGGUGGCGAGGUAAGUCGGAUGUGAAAGCUCGGAGCUCAACUCCGAAAUGGCAUUGGAAACUACCUUGCUCGAGGGUUGGAGGGGGGACUGGAAUACUUGGUGUAGCAGUGAAAUGCGUAGAUAUCGUGAGGAACACCAGAGGCGAAGGCGGCUACCUGGACAAUUGCUGACGCUCAGGCACGAAAGCGUGGGGAGCAAAAGGG
rnacentral:rRNA from 1 species